rnacentral:tRNA from 1 species
GGAUUGCAGCUCAGUGGUAGAGCACUUGCCUACUAUGUGGGAAGUGCUGGGUUCGAUUCUCAGCACUGCA